CCUGGCUCAGGAUGAACGCUGGCGGUCUGCUUAACACAUGCAAGUCGAACGCAACCUUCGGGUUGAGUGGCGGACGGGUGAGUAACGCGUGAGAAUCUGCCUUGGGGUCGGGGACAACCACUGGAAACGGUGGCUAAUACCGGAUAAGCCUUUGGGUAAAAAAUUUAUUGCCCCAAGAGGAGCUCGCGUCUGAUUAGCUAGUUGGUGAGGUAAGAGCUCACCAAGGCAGCGAUCAGUAGCUGGUCUGAGAGGACGAUCAGCCACACUGGGACUGAGACACGGCCCAGACUCCUACGGGAGGCAGCAGUGGGGAAUUUUCCGCAAUGGGCGAAAGCCUGACGGAGCAAGACCGCGUGAGGGAGGAAGGCUCUUGGGUUGUAAACCUCUUUUCUCAGGGAAGAAGCUCUGACGGUACCUGAGGAAUCAGCCUCGGCUAACUCCGUGCCAGCAGCCGCGGUAAUACGGAGGAGGCAAGCGUUAUCCGGAAUUAUUGGGCGUAAAGCGUCCGCAGGUGGCGAUUCAAGUCUGCUGUCAAAGCACGGGGCUUAACUCCGUUAAGGCAGUGGAAACUGAAUAGCUAGAGUGCCGUAGGGGUAGAGGGAAUUCCCGGUGUAGCGGUGAAAUGCGUAGAGAUCGGGAAGAACAUCGGUGGCGAAAGCGCUCUACUGGACGGCAACUGACACUCAGGGACGAAAGCUAGGGGAGCGAAUGGGAUUAGAUACCCCAGUAGUCCUAGCUGUAAACGAUGGAUACUAGGUGUAGCUUGUAUCGACCCGAGCUGUGCCGAAGCUAACGCGUUAAGUAUCCCGCCUGGGGAGUACGCACGCAAGUGUGAAACUCAAAGGAAUUGACGGGGGCCCGCACAAGCGGUGGAGUAUGUGGUUUACUUCGAUGCAACGC
rnacentral:rRNA from 1 species